rnacentral:lncRNA from 1 species
CCUGCGUGAAGAUUUUGACCUCUUUUCUUUGGAGACAAAGUCACUAGCGGAGCAAACAGAAUCAUCAGUUUCUUCCCCUUCUGAAUCCGCAGUGAUCUUUCCACCCAGAAUCAUCUCUUCAUCUUCAGCAGGUUCUUUGGGCUUCACCUUAUUCUGUUGUUUACGCUUAAGUUUCUGCGCUGUUGUACAUGGUAUUAUAUAAUACUUCUGUCCAGGCAAUAGGCUCUCCUCUGGCCUUAAAAAGGACUCCUGAGGCUUUUUGAAAACAUCUGGGCGGGCAACACAUUUCCCAGGAUACUUGUCCAUCAACAAAGACGCAGGAACUGCAUCCGGAA